rnacentral:rRNA from 1 species
GAUGAACGCUGGCGGCGUGCCUAAUACAUGCAAGUCGAGCGAAUGGAUUGAGAGCUUGCUCUCAAGAAGUUAGCGGCGGACGGGUGAGUAACACGUGGGUAACCUGCCCAUAAGACUGGGAUAACCCCGGGAAACCGGGGCUAAUACCGGAUAAUAUUUUGAACUGCAUGGUUCGAAAUUGAAAGGCGGCUUCGGCUGUCACUUAUGGAUGGACCGCGUCGCAUUAGCUAGUUGGUGAGGUAACGGCUCACCAAGGCAACGAUGCGUAGCCGACCUGAGAGGGUGAUCGGCCACACUGGGACUGAGACACGGCCCAGACUCCUACGGGAGGCAGCAGUAGGGAAUCUUCCGCAAUGGACGAAAGUCUGACGGAGCAACGCCGCGUGAGUGAUGAAGGCUUUCGGGUCGUAAACUCUGUUGUUAGGGAGAACGAAGUGCUAGUUGAAUAAGACUGGC